AGUGAACGCUGGCGGUAGGCCUAACAUAUGCAAGUCGAACGGCAGCACAGUAAGAGCUUGCUCUUACGGGUGGCGAGUGGCGGACGGGUGAGGAAUACAUCGGAAUCUACUUUUUCGUGGGGGAUAACGUAGGGAAACUUACGCUAAUACCGCAUACGACCUACGGGUGAAAGCAGGGGAUCUUCGGACCUUGCGCGAUUGAAUGAGCUGAUGUCGGAUUAGCUAGUUGGCGGGGUAAAGGCCCACCAAGGCGACGAUCCGUAGCUGGUCUGAGAGGAUGAUCAGCCACACUGGAACUGAGACACGGUCCAGACUCCUACGGGAGGCAGCAGUGGGGAAUAUUGGACAAUGGGCGCAAGCCUGAUCCAGCCAUACCGCGUGGGUGAAGAAGGCCUUCGGGUUGUAAAGCCCUUUUGUUGGGAAAGAAAAGCAGCAGGUUAAUACCCCGCUGUUCUGACGGUACCCAAAGAAUAAGCACCGGCUAACUUCGUG
rnacentral:rRNA from 1 species